rnacentral:rRNA from 1 species
GAGCGGCGGACGGGUGAGUAAUGCAUAGGAAUCUGCCCGGUAGUGGGGGAUAACCUGGGGAAACCCAGGCUAAUACCGCAUACGUCCUACGGGAGAAAGGGGGCUUCGGCUCCCGCUAUCGGAUGAGCCUAUGUCGGAUUAGCUAGUUGGUGAGGUAACGGCUCACCAAGGCUACGAUCCGUAGCUGGUCUGAGAGGAUGAUCAGCCACAUCGGGACUGAGACACGGCCCGAACUCCUACGGGAGGCA